rnacentral:rRNA from 1 species
AAAGCUUCAGAUAAUAAGGAACCGUACCCCAAACCGACACAGGUGGACAGGAUGAGUAUUCCAAGGCGCUUGAGAGAACUCGGGUGAAGGAACUAGGCAAAAUAGCACCGUAACUUCGGGAGAAGGUGUGCCCCUCGUGGUCAAGUCCUCGCGACGUAAGCUACUGGGGGUUGCAAUAAAAUGGUGGCUGCGACUGUUUAAUAAAAACACAGCACUCUGCAAACACGAAAGUGGACGUAUAGGGUGUGACGCCUGCCCGGUGCUGGAAGGUUAAUUGAUGGGGUUAGCGUAAGCGAAGCUCUUGAUCGAAGCCCCAGUAAACGGCGGCCGUAACGAUAACGGUCCUAAGGUAGCGAAAUUCCUUGUCGGGUAAGUUCCGACCUGCACGAAUGGCGUAACGAUGGCCACUCUGUCUCCACCCGAGACUCAGUGAAAUUGAAUUUGCGGUGAAGAUGCCGUAUACCCGCGGCUAGACGGAAAGACCCCGUGAACCUUUACUGUAGCUUUACACUGAAUUUUGAACCUGUCUGUGUAGGAUAGGUGGGAGGCUUUGAAACCUUAACGCCAGUUUCGGUGGAGCCAUCCUUGAAAUACCACCCUGAUAUGUUCGGGAUUCUAACCUGCUUCUGUUAUCCAGAAGAGGGACAGUGUAUGGUGGGCAGUUUGACUGGGGCGGUCUCCUCCCAAAGAGUAACGGAGGAGCACGAAGGUACCCUCAGCGCGGUCGGAAAUCGCGCAUUGAGUGCAAAGGCAUAAGGGUGCUUGACUGUGAGACUGACACGUCGAACAGGUACGAAAGUAGGUCUUAGUGAUCCGGUGGUUCUGUAUGGAAGGACCAUCGCUCAACGGAUAAAAGGUACUCCGGGGAUAACAGGCUGAUUCCUCCCAAGAGUUCACAUCGACGGAGGAGUUUGGCACCUCGAUGUCGGCUCAUCACAUCCUGGGGCUGUAGUCGGUCCCAAGGGUAUGGCUGUUCGCCAUUUAAAGUGGUACGCGAGCUGGGUUUAGAACGUCGUGAGACAGUUCGGUCCCUAUCUGCCGUGGGCGUUGGAAAUUUGAGAAGAGUUGUCCUUAGUACGAGAGGACCGGGAUGAACGUAUCUCUGGUGUUCCAGUUGUCAUGCCAAUGGCAUUGCUGGGUAGCUAUGUACGGACGGGAUAACCGCUGAAAGCAUCUAAGCGGGAAGCCUCCUUCAAGAUUAGAUUUCCCAGACGUAAGUCUCUUAAGGUCCGUCGAAGACUACGACGUUGAUAGGUUGGGUGUGGAAACGCAGUAAUGUGUGUAGCUAACCAAUACUAAUUAACCGU